UCCAGUUCUUUUUGUGUUCGAGAAAGUUUCCACUUUCAUCGUCACAGAAGACAAGAAAGAAGAAGAAGCCGCCGCCUCUGAAGCAGAGGCAACAACAGCUGCUCCUGUUGAGGUGAAGGAGAAAGAGAUAGUUGUUGAAGCAGAAGCAAAGAAAGAGGAAGAACCAGCACCAGCACCUGCGGCGACACCUGCAGCUGAGGUGGCACCUGCUGAGGUAGCACCUGCAGCUGACGUGGCACCUGCCAAGGUGGAAGAAGCACCUGCAGCAGUAGCAGCACCGGAACCACCAAAAGCUUGAUGAAUC
rnacentral:lncRNA from 1 species